GCUUAGCCCAAGUGGCUAGAGCCCCUCCCUCACAAAUGUGAGGGAAGGGGUUCGAGCCUCCGCAGUCGCAUUGUAGAGGUUUAAUUUAAAUAUUCUUCCUUAGAGCCCUUGAGCUCGAGUGAAGACAGUCUUUCUCCCAGGAUGGGAGUUUGACAUCCCUCGAAUAUUUGAGAGGGUUAAAAAUCUUAGCGGUGUCAUAUAUAAUUGUACAAAUCAAUUAUAGUCUCAUGUAAUAUGAGUUGUAAUUUGAACUGUAAUUUGAGCAAUAGUCUCAUGUAAUCAAAAAAAAAAAAAAAAACAUCCAUAAUGCCCCU
rnacentral:lncRNA from 1 species